UGGUGGUAAAAGUCGCGAAUCGGAGUAGCGGAGAGGGUGGCGACUGGCGCGGCGGCGGCAAGGGCGCCGGAUCUGGUUCGGCGGCGGGUGGAAGAAGGUGAAAUUAGGGUUUGGCCGAUGGGGAAAAUGGGGGAGACGAUGGGGGGAGGGGUUCUUUUUCUUUUUGUUUUUUUUGUUUUUCUAUUUCCAUGUGUCAAUUUUUAGUUAUAGUCAACGCUAUAUGAGCUUGUAAUUGCCAGCUCAGGCCGGAGUAUUACCGGAGCUCAAAAUCAUGGCAAAAUCGUUCACGCCCGUAAGUUCAUGGAAAAUUUGAUAAAAAAAAAAAAUCACGAAAAAUUUGGAAAUGGGCCCAAAGUUCA
rnacentral:lncRNA from 1 species